AGUGACAGAGGGAGAGAGGUGGAGUCACAGGGGGGAGGGACACAAACGAGUUCUAUUGAAAGUAAUUCAACCCAAUCUGUGUGUUUGUAUGUGCAUGGUAGAGAACACCUUGUUAAGGGAAUAGUCAGGUAUAUUAUUGUGUAUCAUGAUAGAGAACACCUUGAUAAUGUAACAGUCAGGUAUAUUAUUGUAUAUCAUGGUAGAGAGAACAGUCAGGUAUAUUAUUGUGUAUCAUGGUAGAGAGAACAGUCAGGUAUAUUAUUGUGUAUCAUGGUAGAGAACACCUUGUUAAGGGAACAGUCAGGUAUAUUAUUGUGAAUCAUGGUAGAGGGAACAGUCAGGUAUAUUAUUGUGUAUCGUGGUAGAGAACACCUUGAUAAGGGAACAGUCAGGUAUAUUAUUGUGUAUCAUGGUAGAGAACACCUUGAUAAGGGAACGGUCAGGUAUAUUAUUGUGUAUCAUGGUAGAGAACACCUUGAUAAGGGAAUAGUCAGGUAUAUUAUUGUGUAUCAUGGUAGAGAACACCUUGAUAAGGGAACAGUCAGGUAUAUUAUUGUGUAUCAUGGUAGAGGGAACAGUCAGGUAUAUUCUUGUGUAUCAUGGUAGAGGGAACAGUCAGGUAUAUUAUUGUGUAUCGUGGUAGAGAACACCUUGAUAAGGGAACAUGUUGUCAGGUAUAUUAUUGUGUAUCGUGGUAGAGGGAACAGUCAGGUAUAUUAUUGUGUAUCAUGGUAGAGAACACCUUGAUAAGGGAACAGUCAGGUAUAUUAUUGUGUAUCAUGGUAGAGGGAACAGUCAGGUAUAUUAUUGUGUAUCAUGGUAGAGAACACCUUGAUAAGGGAACAGUCAGGUAUAUUAUUGUGUAUCAUGGUAGAGAACACCUUGAUAAGGGAACAGUCAGGUAUAUUAUUGUGUAUCAUGGUAGAGGGAACAGUCAGGUAUAUUAUUGUGUAUCAUGGUAGAGAGAACAGUCAGGUAUAUUAUUGUGUAUCAUGGUAGAGAACACCUUGAUAAGGGAACAGUCAGGUAUAUUAUUGUGUAUCAUGGUAGAGGGAACAGUCAGGUAUAUUAUUGUGUAUCAUGGUAGAGAACACCUUGAUAAGGGAACAAUCAGGUAUAUUAUUGUGUAUCAUGGUAGAGAACACCUUGAUAAGGGAACAGUCAGGUAUAUUAUUGUGUAUCAUGGUAGAGAACACCUUGAUAAGGGAACAGUCAGGUAUAUUAUUGUGUAUCAUGGUAGAGGGAACAGUCAGGUAUAUUAUUGUGUAUCAUGGUAGAGAACACCUUGUUAAGGGAACAGUCAGGUAUAUUAUUGUGUAUCAUGGUAGAGGGAACAGUCAGGUAUAUUAUUGUGUAUCGUGGUAGAGGGAACAGUCAGGUAUAUUAUUGUGUAUCAUGGUAGAGAGAACAGUCAGGUAUAUUAUUGUGUAUCAUGGUAGAGAACACCUUGAUAAGGGAACAGUCAGGUAUAUUAUUGUGUAUCAUGGUAGAGGGAACAGUCAGGUAUAUUAUUGUGUAUCAUGGUAGAGAACACCUUGAUAAGGGAACAAUCAGGUAUAUUAUUGUGUAUCAUGGUAGAGAACACCUUGAUAAGGGAACAGUCAGGUAUAUUAUUGUGUAUCAUGGUAGAGAACACCUUGAUAAGGGAACAGUCAGGUAUAUUAUUGUGUAUCAUGGUAGAGGGAACAGUCAGGUAUAUUAUUGUGUAUCAUGGUAGAGAACACCUUGUUAAGGGAACAGUCAGGUAUAUUAUUGUGUAUCAUGGUAGAGGGAACAGUCAGGUAUAUUAUUGUGUAUCAUGGUAGAGAACACCUUGAUAAGGGAACAAUCAGGUAUAUUAUUGUGUAUCAUGGUAGAGAACACCUUGAUAAGGGAACAGUCAGGUAUAUUAUUGUGUAUCAUGGUAGAGAACACCUUGAUAAGGGAACAGUCAGGUAUAUUAUUGUGUAUCAUGGUAGAGGGAACAGUCAGGUAUAUUAUUGUGUAUCAUGGUAGAGAACACCUUGUUAAGGGAACAGUCAGGUAUAUUAUUGUGUAUCAUGGUAGAGAACACCUUGAUAAUGGAACAGUGAGGUAUAUUAUUGUGUAUCAUGGUAGAGGGAACAGUCAGGUAUAUUAUUGUGUAUCAUGGUAGAGGGAACAGUCAGGUAUAUUAUUGUGUAUCAUGGUAGAGAGAACAGGUAGGUAUAUUAUUGUGUAUCAUGGUAGAGAACACCUUGAUAAGGGAACAGUCAGGUAUACUAUUGUGUAUCAUGGUAGAGGGAACAGUCAGGUAUAUUAUUGUAUAACAUGGUAGAGAACACCUUGAUAAGGGAACAGUCAGGUAUAUUAUUGUAUAUCAUGGUAGAGAAAACCUUGAUAAGGGAACAGUCAGGUAUAUUAUUGUGUAUCAUGGUAGAGGGAACAGUCAGGUAUAUUAUUGUGUAUCAUGGUAGAGAACACCUUGAUAAGGGAACAGUCAGGUAUAUUAUUGUGUAUCAUGGUAGAGGGAACAGUCAGGUAUAUUAUUGUAUAUCAUGGUAGAGAACACCUUGAUAAGGGAACAGUCAGGUAUAUUAUUGUGUAUCAUGGUAGAGAACACCUUGAUAAGGGAAU